rnacentral:rRNA from 1 species
AGGAACCUGUCCCUUAAUCGAUAUUCCACGUGGGACCUUACUUGAAUUUGUUUCAGCUUGUAUACCGCCGUCGUCAGAAUGUCUUUUAAAAGAUAAAAUUUUCUUAAAUUUUUAUUAAAAUUGAUGUCAGGUCAAGGUGCAGUUUACGUUCAAGUGGAGAUGGGUUACAUUAAAUUUAUUUAAACGGAUUUUUUCAUGCAAUUGAAUUCUGAAGGUGGAUUUGAUAGUAAUUUAAUUAAUAAUGUUAAUUUGAUUGUGGCUCUAAAACAUGCACACAUCGCCCGUCGCUCUUA